GGACAGUUAGUAUAGUGGCUAGUAUCACCCCCUGUCAUGGGGUAGACCUGGUUUCAAUUCCCUGACUGGAAG